UGUUCCUCCGUCCCGUCGUCCGGUGCGAUCCCAUCCAUCGUCUCGCGUCUGCGGCGUGCAGGUGCAGGUCCAGUGCGUCGCCUCUCGAUUCGAUUCUUUCAUGGAUGGAUGGUCUCCGCGCCAACCCUUAGCUUCCUCCAAAUCCAUCGAUCGUCACCAUCCCGACCCCAAUCCCAGCCCCGCCCCGCCCCGCCGAUGAUGCAGCAGCACCAGCAAGAGGACGACCCAGCACCGCCACCCGCAGUCGCCGAUCCCGACCCUCCGCCGCCCCCCGACCGCGGUGAUGCCGCCGCCUCCGCCUCCCGCAACGCCUCCUCCAAGUACGAUUUCGUCAAGGUCAAGGUGUGGCUCGGGGAGAACGCCGACCACUACUACGUCCUCUCCAGGUUCCUCCUCAGCAGGAUGCUCACCGUCACCAAGAUUCCUAAUCAUGUCGCCAUCAAGAUUGCCCUUGAGCUCAAGAAGCUGCUUGUCGACAACAGCCUGCUUGAUGUCUCCCAGAGUGAUCUAGAGGCUAAUCUAUUCAAGCUUAUGGAAAAACGGGGAUAUGGCGAGGACUAUAUAAAUCGCUAUAAAAUGAUGACAAGGUUCCAUCAUCAAAGGGUUCCACUAGUCAUUUUAGUGUGUGGAACUGCAUGUACUGGAAAAUCAACAAUCGCUACACAACUUGCUCAGAGGCUCAAUUUGCCUAAUGUUUUACAGACAGACAUGGUGUAUGAGCUGCUGCGGACAUCAACAGAUGCGCCACUUACUUCUGUUCCCGUGUGGGCUCGGGAUUUUAAUUCACCUGAGGAGCUUAUCACUGAAUUCUGCAGAGAAUGCAGAGUUGUACGCAAGGGUUUGGCUGGCGAUUUGAAGAAGGCCAUGAAAGAUGGGAAGCCAAUUAUUAUAGAGGGAAUACAUUUGGAUCCAAGCAUUUAUCUUAUGGAUGAGGAAAAGAGAGAUGGUAAUUCCAGGACGGAGAAGACAGUAAUGGAUUCUGAAAAUCCAGGCAUCUCUGUAGAAAGGAAGACCGAACACCAAUCCAAAAAUGGACUAGCAGAGAACAGAAUGAAUCCUACGGAGGACAACAAAAACUUUGUCAAAAUCAAAGAAAGCAUGUUGGAGGGAAGUAGAACCCGUAAAGGACUAUCUUAUGCUGAGAGCCAUGAAACCAAGAUUCAUGAUUCUGCAUGUUCUCAAGAAAGAAAUCCAAAAGAUGAAAGUGAUGGGCACAAAGAUUUGGACCAACAGAAGAAUAACACCACCAAGAAAGACAAACCUGCUGCUGAACCAAUAGUUGUUCCAAUUGUACUGAGGAUGUCUGAUUUUGAUCACAAAGCAUUGUUAGAGGAAUGGAUAGCCACUAGAGCUUUCAGAGAUAAUUGCAUUCCUCAGGAUCACCGGAAACUUAUAAAUAACCUUAAGCUUAUUCAGGACUACCUUUGUUCUUUUGAGUCACAGGCAAGUUUCCCCUGAUUGACAGGCUGGUAUAUUUUAGGGAUUGACCAUUGUUGACAUCUCAGCAAAUUCGUUUCCUCAAACAUUAGAUUGGCUUCACAGCUAUCUUCUUCAGUGCAUCGAGCGAGGUCUUUUGGCUGCGUGUUCAGAAAGCUGCAAUCAAGGGGGAAAUUAAUCGACAUGACACUAUGGGAUUGUCCUAGAGAGAGAUAGGUUAUUGUUAUGGAUGAGGCAUUUUGUUCAAUGUAACCUGGUUGAUAUAAUCUGUUGUACUUUAAUCUGUUGUACUGGCAAAGUCGCAGUGAGUGAUAUUACAUACGAUCCACAGUGCUGACUAUUAUUCAUGCAAACAGAAGCAUUCUGCCUGGCUGCUAAGCCUGUUUGCUUGAACUUA